GCUCUCAUAGUUUAAUGGAUAGAAUAGCUCCCUCCUAAGGAGUAGAUACAGGUUCGAUUCCUGUUGAGAGUG
rnacentral:tRNA from 6 species